rnacentral:rRNA from 1 species
AGUGAGGAAUAUUGGUCAAUGGGCGCGAGCCUGAACCAGCCAUCCCGCGUGCAGGAUGACGGCCCUAUGGGUUGUAAACUGCUUUUCUAUGCCAAGAAACCCACGCUCGUGAGCGUGGUUGCCGGUAGCAUAGGAAUAAGCAUCGGCUAACUCCGUGCCAGCAGCCGCGGUAAUACGGAGGAUGCAAGCGUUAUCCGGAUUCAUUGGGUUUAAAGGGUGCGCAGGUGGGAAUGUAAGUCAGUGGUGAAAUACUGCCGCUUAACGGUAGAACUGCCAUUGAUACUGCGUUUCUUGAGUAUGGUUGAGGUAGGCGGAAUGUGUUGUGUAGCGGUGAAAUGCAUAGAUAUGACACAGAACGCCGAUUGCGAAGGCAGCUUACUAAGCCAUUACUGACGCUGAGGCACGAAAGCGUGGGGAGCGAACAGGAUUAGAUACCCUGGUAGUCCACGCCGUAAACGAUGUUCACUCGCUGUUUGCGAUACACAGUAAGCGGCUUAGCGAAAGCAUUAAGUGAACCACCUGGGGAGUACGAUCGCAAGGUUGAAACUCAAAGGAAUUGACGGGGGCCCGCACAAGCGGAGGAACAUGUGGUUUAAUUCGAUGAUACGCGAGGAACCUUACCUGGGCUUAAAUGUAGAUUGUAUAACUUAGAAAUAGGUUUUCCCUUCGGGGCUAUUUACAAGGUGCUGCAUGGUUGUCGUCAGCUCGUGCCGUGAGGUGUCGGGUUAAGUCCCAUAACGAGCGCAACCCUUAUCGUUAGUUGCCAGCGGGUAGAGCCGGGGACUCUAGCGAGACUGCCACCGUAAGGUGAGAGGAAGGUGGGGAUGACGUCAAAUCAGCACGGCCCUUAUGUCCAGGGCUACACACGUGUUACAAUGGCCGAUACAAAGGGCAGCUACCAGGUGACUGGAUGCUAAUCUCUAAAGUCGGUCUCAGUUCGGAUUGGAGUCUGCAACCCGACUCCAUGAAGUUGGAUUCGCUAGUAAUCGGAUAUCAGCAAUGAUCCGGUGAAUACGU